rnacentral:rRNA from 1 species
UACGAAGGGGGCUAGCGUUGCUCGGAAUCACUGGGCGUAAAGCGCACGUAGGCGGAUUGCUAAGUCAGGGGUGAAAUCCUGGAGCUCAACUCCAGAACUGCCUUUGAUACAGCACGUCUUGAGUCCGGAAGAGGUGGGUGGAAUUCCUAGUGUAGAGGUGAAAUUCGUAGAUAUUAGGAAGAACACCGGUGGCGAAGGCGGCCCACUGGUCCGGUACUGACGCUGAGGUGCGAAAGCGUGGGGAGCAAACAGG